UAUAAAAUAGUUUAAAGUAAAAUGGUAGUAUGUGGAGCUGAGGAUAUUGUGGAAAUUUUUAUAA
rnacentral:tRNA from 1 species